rnacentral:lncRNA from 1 species
UUAUUUCUUUGACGAUAUAAGCCAUCCAAUUCCUUGUAGAAGACAGACGACUUUUGAUAAAUUAAAAACUUUGCUUUGAAGCAAGUAUCGUGAAUCUUGUAGAGUUCAUAUCCUUGAAAACCUAGAAGAGUUUUCACUCCAUCCUUGAAGAGUCACAACUUUUCGAAACCUGCAUCCUUGAAGAGUUGCAGUCAUCGAUCUAGAAGAAUCGGUG